rnacentral:rRNA from 1 species
UCGCCCCGCCCGCCGCGCGCGGCGGGCGGGGCGGGGGCACGGGGGGCCUACGGGAGGCAGCAGUGGGGAAUAUUGCACAAUGGGGGAAACCCUGAUGCAGCCAUGCCGCGUGUGUGAAGAAGGCYUUCGGGUUGUAAAGCACUUUCAGYUGUGAGGAAAGGUUGGUAGUUAAUACCYGCCAGCUGUGACGUUAACWACAGAAGAAGCACCGGCUAACUCCGUGCCAGCAGCCGCGGUAAUACGGAGGGUGCRAGCGUUAAUCGGAAUUACUGGGCGUAAAGCGCRCGCAGGYGGUUUGUUAAGCKAGAUGUGAAAGCCCCGGGCUCAACCUGGGAWGKKCAUUUAGAACUGGCAGACUAGAGUCYUGKAGAGGGKAGUGGAAUUYCAGGUGUAGCGGUGAAAUGCGUAGAUAUSUGRAGGAACAUCAGUGGCGAAGGCGGCYMCCUGGMCWAAGACUGACGCUCAUGUGCGAAAGYGUGGGUAGCGAACAGGAUUAGAUACCCUGGUAGUCCACRCCGUAAACGMUGUCUACUAGYUGUYUGKGAAYUURAUUCGUGAGUAACGAAGCUAACGCGAUAAGUAGACCGCCUGGGGAGUACGGCCGCAGGUAAAACUCAAUGAUUGACGG